rnacentral:rRNA from 1 species
GAUGAACGCUGGCGGCGUGCUUAACACAUGCAAGUCGAACGGAGUGCUCAUGACGGAGGAUUCGUCCAACGGAUUGAGUUACUUAGUGGCGGACGGGUGAGUAACGCGUGAGGAACCUGCCUUGGAGUGGGGAAUAACAGCCCGAAAGGGUUGCUAAUACCGCAUAACAUACGGAUGUCGCAUGGCAACCGUAUCAAAGAUUUUAUCGCUUGAAGAUGGACUCGCGUCCGAUUAGCCAGUUGGCGGGGUAACGGCCCACCAAAGCGACGAUCGGUAGCCGGACUGAGAGGUUGAACGGCCACAUUGGGACUGAGACACGGCCCAG